rnacentral:lncRNA from 10 species
GCAACAUUAAGAUUUAAUUAAACCUUGUUUUACUUGGGCAAGCUAGUCAUGCAGUGAUGUCACAGGAGAACAGAACCCAACAGUCUGAUGACUAGCAGCAAAAAGACAUGUAGCUGAAAUGCCAGUGCACAUAGCUAAUGUAAACAAGUUGAGGGGAGCAACGGAAACAGUGCUGUAAACUGGAAACAUGCCACACCGCGGAACUGCAUAUCCCAGUUUUUUCUAUGGUGAUGUUUGUCCAUAGAACUGAGUUGCGGCCGAAAGAGUGUGAAAGAAAGUGAUGUGCACUAUUUUGGGCCUGGCUAAUACGUAUUUCCCACAUGCCAUUGAUUCUCCUCUCUUCCCUUGCCUGCUUGCUAUAUGAAGACGCCUGGACAAACUUGAAUGCCGCAGGCUACAGAAGUCAGUCUUUAUUCCUGAAUGACUGUAUGGAGCAGAUCCCCAGCCUCAUCUCACUGCUGCCACCAAGGUUCAGAUUCAUACAACUGGGAAAACUAUCCUCUACUGUAUUACGCUGUUAAAAUUUCAAGGCUUAUCUCUCACAGCAUUUAGCAUCACUUCAGUUAAUGUAGAGAGAGUCAGCAGACAAAUAAAUCUGAAGUAUAAUAUCAGCUAGUGCUAAGUGCAAUGCAGAAGAGCGAAUCAGGGGCUGGGCACGGUGGCUCACGCCUGUAAUCCCAGCACUUUGGGAGGCCAAGAUGGGCAGAUAGCGAGGUCAGGAGAUCGAGACCAUCCUGGCUAAC